rnacentral:rRNA from 1 species
GAUGAACGCUGGCGGCGUGCUUAACACAUGCAAGUCGAACGAAGCACUUUUACAGAUUUCUUCGGAAUGAAGUUUUAGUGACUGAGUGGCGGACGGGUGAGUAACGCGUGGUAACCUGCCUCACACAGGGGGAUAACAGUUGGAAACGGCUGCUAAUACCGCAUAAGCGCACAGUACUGCAUGGUACGGUGUGAAAAACUCCGGUGGUGUGAGAUGGACCCGCGUCUGAUUAGCUAGUUGGCAGGGCAACGGCCUACCAAGGCGACGAUCAGUAGCCGACCUGAGAGGGUGACCGGCCACAUUGGGACUGAGACACGGCCCAAACUCCUACGGGAGGCAGCAGUGGGGAAUAUUGCACAAUGGGGGAAACCCUGAUGCAGCGACGCCGCGUGAGCGAAGAAGUAUUUCGGUAUGUAAAGCUCUAUCAGCAGGGAAGAAGAAAUGACGGUACCUGACUAAGAAGCACCGGCUAAAUACGUGCCAGCCGCCGCUGUAA